rnacentral:tRNA from 1 species
GCCGCGGUGGCGAAAUUGGCAGACGCGCAUGCUUCAGGUGCAUGUGAGGGUAACUUCAUGAGAGUUCAAGUCUCUCCCGCGGCA